UCUCUUGAUUUCAAAUUCAUGUAAUUUUUUUUCUCGCAUUCGAAUCAUUUACAUAGCUGCUUGUGUUAGUGGUGGUACAUAUACAUAUUAGUAUGUAAUUCUCCUUCCGCAAUAAGUUCCAAGAACGACUACGUAUUGUACGUUGUACCAUAUUUUCAGCAAAAGAAGAUAUUUGACAAAUCGUCAUUGAAAUCAUGUCGCAUCAGACAGGAAUCAAAGCGAACGACGCUCUUAAGAGAUUAUUUGCCAAGUGCCGUGAUGGCAAAAUACGGGUUUUAAAAGUUUCCAUAGAAAACGAGGAAUUAACAGCUGCUGCUUCCUCAAAGCCUACAAACAAGUGGCAAGAUGAUUACGAUAAACUGAUCAAGCCCCUGAUU